rnacentral:rRNA from 1 species
AUUGAACGCUGGCGGCAUGCCUUACACAUGCAAGUCGAACGGCAGCAUGAUCUAGCUUGCUAGAUUGAUGGCGAGUGGCGAACGGGUGAGUAAUACAUCGGAACGUGCCCUGUAGUGGGGGAUAACUAGUCGAAAGAUUAGCUAAUACCGCAUACGACCUGAUGGUGAAAGUGGGGGACCGCAAGGCCUCAUGCUAUAGGAGCGGCCGAUGUCUGAUUAGCUAGUUGGUGAGGUAAAGGCUCACCAAGGCGGCGAUCAGUAGCGGGUCUGAGAGGAGGAUCAGCCACACUGGGACUGAGACACGGCCCAGACUCCUACGGGAGGCAGCAGUGGGGAAUUUUGGACAAUGGGCGAAAGCCUGAUCCAGCAAUGCCGAGUGUGUGAAGAAGGCCUUCGGGUUGUAAAGCACUUUUGUCCGGAAAGAAAUGGCUCUGGUUAAUACCUGGGGUCGAUGACGGUACCGGAAGAAUAAGGACCGGCUAACUACGUG